CUGAAUGUUAUUAACUUAGUAAAGAAAGUCUCAAGAAAUAUGGUUGUGAGAACUAGAAUCGUAAAAAACAAAACAGCCCUAAACAAAGCUACUGUACACAAAAAAAAAAAUCCAUUCUCUAGCCUACAGAAGCGUCAUGAUCCGAUCUGUUCAAAGCAUUUGAAAACUAUAAGCCACUGGUGACACCACUUCUCACAGCACUAGACCUUGUUGUCGUGUUAUUCUUCUCAUAGUCCUCUCGACCGUGAUUGUCAGCUAGGCCGUACCAUCUGCCUCUAAUAUAAUUCCACGCCAUCGAUUGCAAAAGGAGGAGCUCCACUGAUUAGACAAGCUUCUGAUUCCCUCUACAAGCCUUCUGUAGCUAACGUAUGAGCCACUACGUUGGCUUGGCGCUGUGCACGUUGAAAGAGGCACACUUGGAAGCCUGCACUAAUAGAUAUGCAGUCAGAUAUGAAAACCCCAUUUCUGAUCUGUCGGUAUGGUCUUUCUGCAACUUGCGGAUCACUGUCAAUGCAUCUUCUUCGAUCACCACCAUUUGAAGCCCUAUGUCCUGACCCAUCUGGGCUGCUUAGAGGCAGGCCACCGCCUCAGCUACAAAUGUCGAAGAUUUGUGAUUGUAGCGCCAUUGAAGUUAAUCUUCAAGAAUUGGCUCGUCGACGGUGUCCAAUGGGAUGGCACUCGGACUAGUACAGGUAAUCUUGCUUGCAGCCCUUCUGGCUCUCUGAAAUAAGACUAUAUAAAAGUUGCAAAAUGUUGCUUGUUCCCUUUCAUGAAUAAGUUGAUUUCGUGAGGUCAAUCGCCUACAGUGCACAGGUGAAUAAUUUGUUGGAAAAAAAUUGGUUUGAAAAUA